GCCAUGGCUCAGUGGUAGAGCAUCUGCUUUGCAUGCAGAAGGUGCUGGGUUCAAUGCCUGCCAUCUCCA